GCUAAUGUACAACUAGCAUCCGCCAGGGAACUACGAGCACCAGCUUAAAACCCAAAGGACUUGGCGGUGCCUCAGACCCCCCUAGAGGAGCCUGUUCUAGAACCGAUAACCCCCGUUCAACCUCACCACUCCUUGCCCUUUCCGCCUAUAUACCACCGUCGCCAGCUUACCCUGUGAAGGAAAAGUAAGCGAAAUGGAGACUCUCCAAAACGUCAGGUCGAGGUGUAGCACACGGAGUGGGAAGAAAUGGGCUACAUUGCCUGAUUUAGGCUACUAACGGAAAGUCGCCUGAAAAGACUAUUUGAAGGUGGAUUUAGCAGUAAGAGGGGAAUAGAGUGCCCCUUUGAAGCCGGCUCUGAGGCGCGCACACACCGCCC
rnacentral:rRNA from 1 species